rnacentral:rRNA from 1 species
UACAGAGGUGGCAAGCGUUGUUCGGAAUUACUGGGCGUAAAGGGCGCGUAGGCGGUCGGGCAAGUCCUGUGUGAAAUCCCUCGGCUCAACUGAGGAACUGCACGGGAAACUGCUCGACUUGAGUUCGGGAGAGGGAAGCGGAAUUCCGGGUGUAGCGGUGAAAUGCGUAGAUAUCCGGAGGAACACCGGUGGCGAAGGCGGCUUCCUGGACCGACACUGACGCUGAGGCGCGAAAGCUAGGGGAGCAAACGGG